rnacentral:tRNA from 1 species
CACGCCACGAGGCCUCCGGGUAGUGCCCGGCGUCCGCUAUCUCGGCGGUGUAGAAGGCGGGUGUCGCCGCCGCGUUCGCUUCGUGGUGGUGUGGC